UACGGGGGGAGCAAGCGUUGUUCGGAUUUACUGGGCGUAAAGGGCGCGUAGGCGGCCAGCACAAGUCAGUUGUGAAAUCUCCGAGCUUAACUCGGAAAGGUCAACUGAUACUGUGCGGCUAGAGUGCGGAAGGGGCAACUGGAAUUCUUGGUGUAGCGGUGAAAUGCGUAGAUAUCAAGAGGAACACCUGCGGCGAAGGCGGGUAGCUGGGCCGACACUGACGCUGAGGCGCGAAAGCCAGGGGAGCGAACGGG
rnacentral:rRNA from 1 species